AAUCCCCUUUGGGGAUUGGGUAGGGGAGCGUUCGCUGCGGGCUGAAGGUGUGCCGGAAGGCAUGCUGGACUGCAGUGAAGUGAUUAUGCUGACAUGAGUAACGAUAAAAUAUGUGAAAAACAUAUUCGCCGAAAACCCGAGGUUUCCUGGGUAAAGGUAAUCUUCCCAGGGUUAGUCGGAUCCUAAGGUGAGGGUGAAAGCCGUAACCGAUGGAAAACAGGUUAAUAUUCCUGUACUUGUUGUGUAGCGCGAUGGAGGGACGCAGGAAGAUAGGCGGGCCGGGGGUUGGAUAUCCCGGGGCAAGCGUGUAGGAAUAUCCGGUAGGCAAAUCCGCCGGACGAAUCUGAGACGCGAGUCCGUGGGCGCAAGCCCUGAAGCCGUUGAGUCUAUGCUGCCUAGAAAAGCUCCUAAGUUUAUCCACAGCAAUCCGUACCGCAAACCAACUCAGGUGGGUGGGAUGAACAAUCCAAGGCGCUCGAGAGAACUCUGGCCAAGGAACUCGGCAAAAUAACCCCGUAACUUCGGAAGAAGGGGUGCUCUCUAGGGUGACAUGUUUAACAUAUGAAGCCCCGGGGAGCCGCAGUGAAUUGGUGGUGGCGACUGUUUACUAAAAACAUAGGUCUGUGCGAAGUCCUAAAGACGACGUAUACGGACUGACGCCUGCCCGGUGCUGGAAGGUUAAAAGGAGGGGUCAGCGCAAGCAAAGCUCCGAAUUGAAGCCCCAGUAAACGGCGGCCGUAACUAUAACGGUCCUAAGGUAGCGAAAUUCCUUGUCGGGUAAGUUCCGACCUGCACGAAUGGCGUAACGAUCUCCACACUGUCUCGGCCAGAGACUCGGUGAAAUUGCAGUCGCGGUGAAAAUUCCGUGUACCCGCAGAAAGACGGAAAGACCCUGUGCACCUUUACUAUAGCUUGACAUUGGAUUUUGGGCCUGCAUGUGUAGGAUAGGUGGGAGGCUGUGAACCCUGUACGCCAGUAUGGGGGGAGCCAUCCUUGAAAUACCACCCUUGCAUGUUUAAGAUCCUAACUUCUUCCGGUUAUCCCGGAGAAAGACAGUGUCUGGCGGGUAGUUUGACUGGGGCGGUCGCCUCCUAAAGUGUAACGGAGGCAUGCAAAGGUUCCCUCAGCCUGAUCGGAAACCAGGCGUUGAGUGCAAACGCAUAAGGGAGCUUGACUGUAAGAGAGACAUCUCGAACAGGAACGAAAGUUGGCGUUAGUGAUCCGGUGGUCCCGAAUGGAAGGGCCAUCGCUCAUUGGAUAAAAGGUACGCCGGGGAUAACAGGCUGAUCGCAUCCAAGAGUUCACAUCGACGAUGCGGUUUGGCACCUCGAUGUCGGCUCAUCACAUCCUGGGGCUGAAGUAGGUCCCAAGGGUAUGGCUGUUCGCCAUUUAAAGUGGUACGCGAGCUGGGUUUAGAACGUCGUGAGACAGUUCGGUCCCUAUCUGCCGUGGGCGCUGGAGAAUUGAGGGGGGCUGCUCCUAGUACGAGAGGACCGGAGUGGACGCAUCACUGGUGUUCGGGUUGUCAUGCCAAUGGCACUGCCCGGUAGCUAAAUGCGGAAGAGAUAAGUGCUGAAAGCAUCUAAGCACGAAACUUGCCAAGAGAUGAGUUCUCCCUGUCUUUAAGACAGUAAGGGUUGU
rnacentral:rRNA from 1 species